UGGGGGAUCGUCUAAUGGCAGGACUACGGAUUCUGGCUCCGUAUAUCAAGGUUCGAAUCCUUGUCCCCCAG
rnacentral:tRNA from 1 species